AUCGGGCGAGCCGGGCACUCUGGAGGGACUGCCGGCGACAAGCCGGAGGAAGUGGGGAUGACGUCAAGUCAUCAUGGCCCUUAUGUCCAGGGCGACACACGUGCUACAAUGGCCGGCGACAGCGGGAAGCGGAGGGGCGACCCUGAGCGGAUACCCUUGAAAGCCGGUCCCAGUUCGGAUUGCAGUCUGCAACUCGACUGCAUGAAGUUGGAAUCGCUAGUAAUCGCGGAUCAGCCAAGCCGCGGUGAAUACGUUCCCGGGCCUU
rnacentral:rRNA from 1 species